CAGCCGCCGCGGGAAUACGUAGGUGGCAAGCGUUGUCCGGAAUUAUUGGGCGUAAAGGGCUCGCAGGCGGUUUCUUAAGUCUGAUGUGAAAGCCCCCGGCUCAACCGGGGAGGGUCAUUGGAAACUGGGAAACUUGGGUGCAGAAGAGGAGAGUGGAAUUCCACGUGUAGCGGUGAAAUGCGUAGAGAUGUGGAGGAACACCAGUGGCGAAGGCGACUCUCUGGUCUGUACUGACGCUGAGGAGCGAAAGCGUGGGGAGCGAACAGGAUUAGAUACCCCCGUAGUCCCUGUCUCUUAUACA
rnacentral:rRNA from 1 species